rnacentral:tRNA from 1 species
UCCCUGGUGGUCCAGUGGGUAGAACUCCAGUCUUCCAGUGCUGGGGACAGAGGUUCGAUCCCUGGUCAGGGAA